GUGAAGUCAGCAACAGGAUUCUUUAAGAAAGGCAAUAAAGACGGGAUGAAUGUACUUGGCAUGUAUAUGCCUAAACGUUCAGCGCGCACAAAACUUUUUCUAGAAUGGAGAACACUGAUGUUGGAGCGGAAACUAGGACAAAAAGUUGAUUGAAAAAGAGAAAUUUGAACUCAGAAGCUUCUACUGUUUAAAUCCACAAGAAUGUCCUUAAUUUUUCAUGACAUCACAUGUGUGUGUAUGAAAAUGAAUGCAGUGUUGCUUCAGUUAUUGUCUUCAUGUGUUUGUGCAUGUAUCUUACUGUUUGGCAAACAUGUCUGGGAGAUCAUUUUUGAAAAGACAACAGAAGUUGCAACCGCGUACAGAACAGGAAAGAGAAUCCUAGGUAACUUUUCCUAUAGAUCUUGAAGAUACACCAACUCGUUUACAAAUUCAGAAAAAUAACAAUGUAUUGGGUCCUUAUAUAUGUCUAUUUAAUACUGUAUACAUACCUCCACCACAGGUCAAGAAACAUACCUGCCCUUGGCACCUUCACAGAAUACAAAGAAGGAACGGUCCUUGCUUAGUGACAGAC
rnacentral:lncRNA from 1 species